CUUUAGCACCCUAUUGUUUCAAUUACUUGCUAUUACAGUUAUAUCCUGCGAUCAAGUUAAAUGUUCCCAGUCAGACCUGUGAUCCUUAUCAAACAGCAUCAUCAAUUUCAAAUUGGACACGUUGAUGAAUGGACAACCAAUGUUUUGACAGGUUCGAUCACGGUAACGUUUCGUUUUCGAGCACCUUUCAAGCACGAGAAUGGCUACAUCUUUUUAGGAAAGCUUUUAACUAAAAUGCUUUUAUGUGCUGGUUUUAGUUUGAUUUUAUAUCCUAGUUUUUAGCUUGUCUUUAUAUGCUGGUUUUAGCUUAAUUUUAUCUGCUAGUUUUAAAUUCUAUAAUAUUUGUAUCCUUUUUUUGGUGUGUGUGUGUGUGUGCAUUGUAGCACUUUGAGGUCAUUGAUUUGGUGUAAAAUGCAAUACAAAUAAAAUGUAUUAUUAUUAGUAGUAGUAGUAGUAGUAGUAUUAUCUCUGUUUGUGCAUGUGUACUGUACUGUAGGUGUGCUCUGAUCAGUAUGCCGGAGGGAGGGAGAGAGAACCCCUCUCUUUGAUCUCUGCCCUCUUUUCUUUUUUUGGAAGCGCAUGUGCCGUUUCCUCACGGUGUUUUGCCGGCAGGGCCAACGUGGCCCUUUUAACCCCGCACUGCCUGGGCCCUCACACAGUACACACAAACAGUGCCGUAUGAAUGGCUGAACUUUGCCCCUGGAGUCACGGAAACCAAUCGAUACGGUUUCUGGUAAAAACCCGUGCCGGUUUUAGAAGCAUGUCUCUCUCUCUCUCUGUCUCCUCUCUAUCUCCCUAUGAGGAGGGUGUAGAUGUUUUUGUCACAGUUAAGUCUUCCAGGCAAGAAUAAAGCGAAAAAAGUUGUACAUGACCAGGAGUGCCGUACUCUCGCUUUCUUUGAUUUACUGUACUCCAUAUGGGCACAAGCACCCAGUCAGCUUAAAUAUUUUGUGAGUUGAGCGCGUUCUAUGUACUUUAUUUGUCACAGUUAACCCUGAGGGAGCAUACAGUAUAUAUCUUGAAUGCAUAUCGAUACUUUCCAUAUUGUAAUCCAUAUACUCUGUAUGUAAACCUUAAGAGAGAGUUUGUGUGUUUCCCCCUCCUCCCCUUCCCCUCUGAUGUAUUUGGCCCAAAAUGCUUUGUGAAUACUGUACAACUUCAUGCUAAUAAAGCUCCU